rnacentral:rRNA from 1 species
AGAGUUUGAUCCUGGCUCAGGAUGAACGCUAGCGACAGGCUUAACACAUGCAAGUCGAGGGGCAGCGGGUAGAUGAGCUUGCUCAUUUAUGCCGGCGACCGGCGCACGGGUGAGUAACACGUAUGCAACCUGCCCGUCUCAGGGGGAUAAUCGUCGGAAACGGCGUCUAAUACCCCGUAUGAAGCCGGACGGCAUCGUCUGGUUUUGAAAGAAUAUCGGAGACGGAUGGGCAUGCGGCGCAUUAGCUAGUUGGCGGGGUAACGGCCCACCAAGGCAACGAUGCGUAGGGGUUCUGAGAGGAAGGUCCCCCACACUGGUACUGAGACACGGACCAGACUCCUACGGGAGGCAGCAGUGAGGAAUAUUGGUCAAUGGGCGAGAGCCUGAACCAGCCAAGUCGCGUGAGGGAGUACUGCCCUAUGGGUUGUAAACCUCUUUUGUCGGGGAGCAAAAGCCGGACGUGUCCGGCUGUGAGAGUACCCGAGGAAAAAGCAUCGGCUAACUCCGUGCCAGCAGCCGCGGUAAUACGGAGGAUGCGAGCGUUAUCCGGAUUUAUUGGGUUUAAAGGGUGCGCAGGCGGAUUUUUAAGUCAGCGGUCAAAUCGUGGGGCUCAACCCCAUCCAGCCGUUGAAACUGGGGAUCUAGAGUGUGCGAGAGGUAUGCGGAAUGCGUGGUGUAGCGGGUGAAAUGCAUAGAUAUACGGAGGAACACCAGUGGGCGAAGGCGGAUUGCUGGACAGUAACUGACGCUGAGGCGCGAAAGCGUGGGGAGCAAACAGGAUUAGAUACCCUGGUAGUCCACGCCGUAAACGAUGGAUACUAGGUGUGGGGGGACUGACCCCCUCCGUGCCGCAGCUAACGCAAUAAGUAUCCCACCUGGGGAGUACGAUCGCAAGGUUGAAACUCAAAGGAAUUGACGGGGGCCCGCACAAGCGGAGGAACAUGUGGUUUAAUUCGAUGAUACGCGAGGAACCUUACCCGGGCUCAAACGGGAGUGGAAUGGACCAGAGACGGUUCAGCCUACGGGCCGCUUCCGAGGUGCUGCAUGGUUGUCGUCAGCUCGUGCCGUGAGGUGUCGGCUUAAGUGCCAUAACGAGCGCAACCCCCGCCGGCAGUUGCUAACGGGCAAUGCCGAGGACUCUGCCGGGACUGCCGCCGCAAGGCGUGAGGAAGGCGGGGAUGACGUCAAAUCAGCACGGCCCUUACGUCCGGGGCGACACACGUGUUACAAUGGGCGGUACAGCGGGAAGCCAGGCGGCGACGCUGAGCGGAACCCGAAAGCCGUUCUCAGUUCGGAUCGGAGUCUGCAACCCGACUCCGUGAAGCUGGAUUCGCUAGUAAUCGCGCAUCAGCCAUGGCGCGGUGAAUACGUUCCCGGGCCUUGUACUCACCGCCCGUCAAG